UACGAAGGGAGCUAGCGUUGUUCGGAAUUACUGGGCGUAAAGGGCGCGUAGGCGGUUAAACAAGUCAGGCGUGAAAGCCUCAGGCUCAACCUGAGAACUGCGUUUGAGACUGUUUUUCUAGAGUACGGUAGGGGUAAGUGGAAUUCCCAGUGUAGCAGUGAAAUGCGUAGAUAUUGGGAGGAACACCAGUAGCGAAGGCGACUUACUGGACCGUAACUGACGCUGAGGCGCGAAAGCGUGGGGAGCAAACAGG
rnacentral:rRNA from 1 species